rnacentral:rRNA from 1 species
UACGAAGGGAGCUAGCGUUGUUCGGAAUCACUGGGCGUAAAGCGCACGUAGGCGGAUUUGUCAGUCAGGGGUGAAAUCCCGGGGCUCAACCUCGGAACUGCCUUUGAUACAGCAAGUCUUGAGUUCGGGAGAGGGAAGCGGAAUUCCGGGUGUAGCGGUGAAAUGCGUAGAUAUCCGGAGGAACACCGGUGGCGAAGGCGGCUUCCUGGACCGACACUGACGCUGAGGCGCGAAAGCUAGGGGAGCAAACGGG